rnacentral:tRNA from 1 species
GAGAAUUAGCUCAGCUGGGAGAGCAUCUGCCUUACAAGCAGAGGGUCGGCGGUUCGAAUCCUCUAUGGCUCA